rnacentral:rRNA from 1 species
UCUCAAAGAUUAAGCCAUGCAUGUCUCAGUACAAGCCAAAUUAAGGUGAAACCGCGAAAGGCUCAUUAAAUCAGUUAUGGUUCCUUAGAUCGUACCCACAUUUACUUGGAUAACUGUGGUAAUUCUAGAGCUAAUACAUGCAAACAGAGCUCCGACCGGAGACGGAAGGAGCGCUUUUAUUAGAUCAAAACCAAUCGGUGGCGGGUCUCCCGUCACCGUACACCUUGGUGACUCUGAAUAACUUAUUGCUGAUCGCACGGUCUCGCACCGGCGACGCAUCUUUCAAAUGUCUGCCUUAUCAACUGUCGAUGGUAGGUUCUGCGCCUACCAUGGUUGUAACGGGUAACGGGGAAUCAGGGUUCGAUUCCGGAGAGGGAGCCUGAGAAACGGCUACCACAUCCAAGGAAGGCAGCAGGCGCGCAAAUUACCCACUCCCGGCACGGGGAGGUAGUGACGAAAAAUAACGAUACGGGACUCAUCCGAGGCCCCGUAAUCGGAAUGAGUACACUCUAAACCCUUUAACGAGGAUCAAUUGGAGGGCAAGUCUGGUGCCAGCAGCCGCGGUAAUUCCAGCUCCAAUAGCGUAUAUUAAAGUUGUUGCGGUUAAAAAGCUCGUAGUCGAAUUUGUGUCCCGCGCCGCCGGUUCAUCGCUCGCGGUGUCAACUGGCGUGUCCGCGGGACGUCCUGCCGGUGGGCUUAGCCCCCCGUGGGCGGCCCAAUCUCAAUCCCACCGCGGUGCUCUUCACUGAGUGUCGAGGUGGGCCGGCACGUUUACUUUGAACAAAUUAGAGUGCUUAAAGCAGGCUAAAACAUCGCCUGAAUACUGUGUGCAUGGAAUAAUGGAAUAGGACCUCGGUUCUAUUUUGUUGGUUUUCGGAACCCCGAGGUAAUGAUUAAUAGGAACGGAUGGGGGCAUUCGUAUUGCGACGUUAG